CGACGUAGGUAACCUGCCUUGUAGCGGGGGAUAACUAUUGAAACGAUAGCUAAUACCGCAUAACAAUGGAUGACACAUGUCAUUUAUUUGAAAGGGGCAAUUGCUCCACUACAAGAUGGACCUGCGUUGUAUUAGCUAGUAGGUGAGGUAACGGCUCACCUAGGCGACGAUACAUAGCCGACCUGAGAGGGUGAUCGGCCACACUGGGACUGAGACACGGCCCAG
rnacentral:rRNA from 1 species